UCCAACAGCUCUCCGGUGGCCGUAGGCACUGUGAUGGCUGCUGUGGGCUCGGCGGGGCUCAGCAUCACCAGGACCACCCUCACCCUUCCUCCUGCCCCCGUCCCCAGGUGGGGAAACCACAAUGUACGGGACCACAGUUUCAAUCCUUCUGAAGCAGCGCAGGAAGCAGCACAGCCUAAAACCCUUCAGAUAUUUGCUUUGACAAUAAACCAGAUAGCCGGAUCCGUGCGGUGCGAGUCCUGCCAGCCCACCCUCUUCCCGCACUCAGCCACUACAUGGCCAUCCCAAAUAUUAUUUUUUGGAAACCACUUCCAUAGAUCAACAGAGGCGUUGCGGCAGAGCCGUGCAGCCGGGGAGCCGGAGUGCUGCCACUCACUGGAGCAGAACAAGCCAGAGAGUCCGCACAGAACGGGAUUAAUGAAAGCCAGACCACAAAGCCCAUAAAAACAUAUUUCUUGCUUUUAUUAGACCAAUGCAAUUGUAUGGAAAGAGCAGACAGCUCUGAGAUGCCCAGACCCAAUAUCAUGGACAUUGCCACCACCAAAGCAGCUGCGUGUCCCCUGCUGUGCACCAGGGCACGGGGAUGCUGCUGCUCAUCCCCAUUGGUUUGGCCUCACUGGGACAAGCUGAAAAUAAAAUGUCCCCGUGGGGAGGGGAAAUGCUUUUCCUGUCGUAGGAGGCAUGAUCUCCUGAGUGAGCACUGGCAAAGAAAGGCAUCUUGUUUGGGGGGCUCUGCAAGGCAAGAUGAAAGGGGAAACCUACAUUUUUCAGCCCAGCCUGCUCUUGACGUGGGAAAAUAGCACAGACAAGAAUAGAUAGCUUGUUGGCUCGUUUUUUUUCCUUAACAGAUUAUCUGUGUGAAUGCGCCAUGCUAAGCUGGGAGUGAGGCGGGGAUGCCCCCAGCCAGCCCUGCUCCCAUCCACCCCCCGGGCACCCCGGGCUGCAGGAGCUCAGCACACUGUGACCACGGAGGUGGCUCUGCUGUGCGCACGGCCCCACGCACCCACAUCUGGGCUGUGAAAGUGCCGUGCUGAGUUUUUCCCCCUGGAGACAUGGGACACCGCCUGCUGCGUUGGUGACAGACACAGUGCCGCGUGUGGGACAGCGGCAGGGCCACGGCAGCUCCUGCACAGGAGUGGAUCCCUGCCAAAGGGCAGAGUUAGGCGCUGGGCCGCCCGGCCGCAGGCAUGUGCACCAAAAGGAGGCGAGGAGCAGCACGCUGCCUUCAAACAAUGCAAUUACAGCACAAUGUGCUCGGGGUCGCUUUUGUCCCUUUUUGAACCAUUUGGGGCACGUUGUCAGGUCGGAGGCCGAAAGACCCAGAAACGCGCUUCAGUGACCACUCCCCAUUCUCACGGAGCCUCGGCGUGACCGUGAGCCCCAUCUCCCCCCUUCUCCCCGCAUCCCAACCCCCACAGCGGGGUCUGCAGGUCAGCCCCAUCGCCGCCCGCCCGGAGCCACCAGGUCCUGCAACACGUCUUCCAGAUCUGCAGCCUCUUUGGAGUCAACAGAUCGGUGUGGUUUUGCUUCCUUCUCACAAACCAGCCAUGAAAUGACCUUGAUUUUUCCAAUGGCUGCGGUUGGACAUUUCCUAGACUCUCUUUCUGUGUCUGCUUUGCACCCGGCGAUCCUUUGUGAUCCCACUCACUAUUGCUGCUUUGCAAUCCCA
ensembl:lncRNA